rnacentral:rRNA from 1 species
AACACAUGCAAGUCGAGCGGUAAGGCCUCGGGGGUACACGAGCGGCGAACGGGUGAGUAACACGUGAGCAAUCUGCCCUUCACACGGGGAUAACCACCGGAAACGGUGGCUAAUACCCGAUACGACCACUUCAGGCAUCUGAUGGUGGUGGAAAGUUCCGGCGGUGGGGGAUGAGCUCGCGGCCUAUCAGCUUGUUGGUGGGGUAAUGGCCUACCAAGGCAACGACGGGUAGCCGGCCUGAGAGGGUGACCGGCCACACUGGGACUGAGACACGGCCCAGACUCCUACGGGAGGCAGCAGUGGGGAAUAUUGGACAAUGGGCGAAAGCCUGAUCCAGCAACGCCGCGUGAGGGAUGACGGCCUUCGGGUUGUAAACCUCUUUCAGCAGGGACGAAGCGCAAGUGACGGUACCUGCAGAAGAAGCACCGGCCAACUACGUGCCAGCAGCCGCGGUAAUACGUAGGGUGCGAGCGUUGUCCGGAAUUAUUGGGCGUAAAGGGCUCGUAGGCGGUUUGUCGCGUCGGGAGUGAAAACUCAGGGCUUAACCCUGAGCCUGCUUCCGAUACGGGCAGACUAGAGGUAUGCAGGGGAGAACGGAAUUCCUGGUGUAGCGGUGAAAUGCGCAGAUAUCAGGAGGAACACCGGUGGCGAAGGCGGUUCUCUGGGCAUUACCUGACGCUGAGGAGCGAAAGUGUGGGGGAGCGAACAGG